rnacentral:rRNA from 1 species
UGGGGGAUAUUGGACAAUGGGGGAAGCCCUGAUCCAGCGACGCCGCGUGAGUGAAGAAGUAUUUCGGUAUGUAAAGCUCUAUCAGCAGGGAAGAAAGAAAUGACGGUACCUGAGUAAGAAGCCCCGGCUAACUACGUGCCAGCAGCCGCGGUAAUACGUAGGGGGCAAGCGUUAUCCGGAAUUACUGGGUGUAAAGGGAGCGUAGACGGCGUGCAAGCCAGAUGUGAAAGCCCGGGGCUCAACCCCGGGACUGCAUUUGGAACUGUAUAGCUGGAGUGUCGGAGAGGCAGGCGGAAUUCCUAGUGUAGCGGUGAAAUGCGUAGAUAUUAGGAGGAACACCAGUGGCGAAGGCGGCCUGCUGGACGAUGACUGACGUUGAGGCUCGAAAGCGUGGGGAGCAAACAGGAUUAGAUACCC